rnacentral:rRNA from 1 species
GAUGAACGCUGGCGGCGUGCCUAAUACAUGCAAGUCGAGCGAACGGACGAGAAGCUUGCUUCUCUGAUGUUAGCGGCGGACGGGUGAGUAACACGUGGAUAACCUACCUAUAAGACUGGGAUAACUUCGGGACACCGGAGCUAAUACCGGAUAAUAUUUUGAACCGCAUGGUUCAAAAGUGAAAGACGGUCUUGCUGUCACUUAUCGAUGGAUCCGCGCUGCAUUAGCUAGUUGGUAAGGUAACGGCUUACCAAGGCAACGAGGCAUAGCCGACCUGAGAGGGGGAUAGGCCACACGGGAGCUGGGACACGGUCCAGACUCCUACGGGAGGCAGCAGUAGGGAAUCGUCGGCAAAGGGCGAAAGCCUGACGGAGCAACGCCGCGUGAGUGAUGAAGGUCUUCGGAUCGUAAAACUCUGUUAUUAGGGAAGAACAUAUGUGUAAGUAACUGUGCACAUCGUGACGGUACCUAAUCAGAAAGCCACGGCUAACUACGUG